UACGUAGGGGGCAAGCGUUAUCCGGAUUUAUUGGGCGUAAAGAGCUCGUAGGCGGCCGUUCGCGUCGGAUGUGAAAGCUCAGGGCUCAACUCUGAGAUGCCAUUCGAUACGGGACGGCUAGAGGUAGGUAGGGGAGAGUGGAAUUCCUGGUGUAGCGGUGAAAUGCGCAGAUAUCAGGAGGAACACCGGUGGCGAAGGCGGCUCUCUGGGCCUUACCUGACGCUGAGGCACGAAGGCCAGGGGAGCAAACGGG
rnacentral:rRNA from 1 species